rnacentral:lncRNA from 1 species
ACCUCCCCACAAGCUGAGGGAGCCGGCUGCGGCCUUCGCCAGCCCAGAAAGGGGCUCCUACAGUGCAGUGGCGGGCUGAAGGGCUGCUCAAGCGCCGCCAAAGUGGGAGCCCAGGCAGAGGAGGCGCCCAGAGCGAGCGAGGGCUGUGAGGACUGCCAGCACGCUGUCACCUCUCACUCAUAUAGAUUGCCAAUCUAUUUGUGAACCAGGUUUGCUGGAGUUUGGAUUUACUACUGAGUCAUAUUUGGAGCAUGCUGGAAUCUUACAACUGAGAUUACCGAGUCAGAAACUUGCAAACAUGAGUAACAUGGCCCUGCUCUGGAGACUACUGGGAACACAAACACAGCCAUUUAAGACAUCUACCUGCUUCUCCUUUGCCUUCCAUCAUGACUGAAAGUUGUCUGAGGUCUCCCAGCCACGUGUCCUGUACAGCCUGUGGAACUACUUUAAAGAAGAAUCAGAAAAUGGAGACUGGGAUUGGAAGCAGAGAUCCGAUGGCCAAAUUACAGUCUGCCACUGAAGCUAACACACCUAUGGAUAACCCAACCUGUAAACUCAAUGUGGAACACAGUUUGAGAAAAGAAGUGAGAAGAUUCAAUUUUGAAGUUGGAUCACUCUCCUACAGGCAAUGAAGACCACAUCACUGAUGGUAGGGUGAAUGUUCUCGUACCUCACAAAGUGGCAGUCCACUUCUUAAAACAUCCACUAUGCAUGGAGAAAACCAUGGUGAUAAGGAUAAUGGACUGGGUAGCCUGUGAUUGGUGAUACAGAUGCUCUAGAGAAAGCUGAUGCUGAGUAGCAGGUCAAUGAAAACCAGGUGUGAAAGUAGCAGCAUCUUGGUUGCAUUUAAAACAGUUUUAUCCUUGCAGUAUAGUUUGAAGUGAGGUAGCAUGAUGCAUCCAGCUUUGUUCUUUUUGCUUAGGAUUGUCUUGGCUAUAGGGGGACUUUAACUUCAUAUGAAACUUAAAAUAGUUGUUUUCUAAUUCUGUGAAGAAUGUCAAUGGCGGUUUCAUGGGAGUAACAUUGAAUCUAUAAAUUACUUUAGGCAAUAUGUCCAUUUUCAUGAUAUUGAUGCUUCCUAUCCAUAAAGAUGAAAUGUUUUUCCA